AUGGCAAUAAUAUUUUCCUUUAUAAUUCACAAUCAACCGUAAUUUCCUUCCAGUUAUUGGAGUCUGUUGGAUAGAAAAAUAACUGCUUGGUAAAUGUUAGAUGUAGGAUGGAAAAGAUCAGCUAGUUAAGGCAAGAUAUUUUAUGAAAUUAUGAACUCAACAGCUUAUUAGGAAACCACGAACAAGCUUGUUAAGUUAUCCGAUAAAUGGAUUUACACACCUAUUUGUUUCAAUAUGCCAAUAAAAAGGGGAUCUUUUGCGCAUUAUAAUUCAGCUGUGGGGAACUCAAACCAAUGUUCUCCUUAUAAAGGAGUAUCAUUGAGUUACAAAGCUCUUGGCAAAACUGGAGCAAUAUCUUGGGUUCAAAACUCCAUUGGGGCUUUGGCACCAAUGUUUUGCAUUCGAUUCUGGGGACCUUUUCAACUUAGCUAUUAGAACAGAAUUUUGUUGGAAUAGCUGAAUUAGCCGGAAUGUGCAGGAGAUUUUGGGAGUUAGUUGAUAUUCUCUGUUGCAAAAUUAGGAGUUUUCCAAUGAACUAUUUAGGCAUGCCUUUGCAUUUGUCUUUCAAAGCAUAAACAGUGUGGGAUCCCAUUAUAAAGAAAAUGGAGUGAAGAUUUUCAGGUUAGAAAAAGUUAUAUUUGUUGAAAGGGGGAAGCUUAAUGUUAUUAAGAGUGUGCUGUUAAACCUUCCAACUUGCUACCUUUCUUUAUUUACUUAUUUCACCCCAUGUGUCAAAUAAGUUGGAGAGUAAUUUCUUUUGGGGUGGGCCCGGGGAUGGGUUUAAAUUUCAUUUGGUGGAUUGAAAUACAGUGUGCUCUCCAAUCUCUCCCAUUCUCUGUGAGGGUUUUGGAGAUGCACAAAUUAGACACCUUUAAUUAAGCUCUCUUAGGGAAAUGGCUGUAGCAUAUCAGGAAGGAAGAAGAAACUUGUUUGUGGAGACAGGUUAUAUCAUUAAAGAAUGGGGUGGACUAGAGAGGUUGGACAACAAAACAAAUGCGAAGAACUCAUGGCUGUAACUUUUGGAAGAGUAUGAUAGUGGGUGGACUAGAGAGGAAUUUGGCGUGCCAAAGCCCUGAAGCGGGUUGCUUUCUUUUUGUGGACAACAGCGUGGGGAAGAUUUUGACUAAUAAUCUUCAAAGAAAGGAUUUACACUAGUAAAUUGGUGCUGAUUGUACAGGAGUAGCGAGGAGAUGGUGGACCAUUUGUUACUUCAUUGUGAUAUUGCUUAUGGUUUGUGGAGUUAUGCUUUUGGUAUUUUUGGAGUUCAUUGGUGAUCUUGAACAAAGUGAUUGAUUUACUUGUUGGUUGGAGAAAUUAGUUAGAAAAAUGUUCUUCUGUAGUGUGGAAUUUAGUUCCUUUGAGCUUGAUAGAAUUAUGGUUACGUGAAUAAAUUUACAAUUUCUUAACCGCUUAAAAUGUUAAAAAUCCCACGUGUGGGGCCCCCACUUAUUAAGGGAAAGUUUAAGCCCACACGUAAUGGGAAGUGUUAGAAUUAUGGUUAAGUGAUUAAAUUCACUAUUUUCUAACAACUUAAACUUUUGGGACAAUUGGUAAUUUAACAGAAUCUGAUGUGAAUUUUGUGGAGAGAGCAGAAUUACCGCACUUUUUAAGAUGUGAGAUGUGGAAGUUUCGGAAAUGCAGUUGAAAGUCUCUUUUCAUAAAUUACUCUAUGAAUGGUCAACUGUCCUGGGUCUUAGUGACAGUGGCACUAUUACAGAGUUCACUGAAUUGAUUUUCUUUGCUUGUAAUUAUUUGAUUGUAAUUCUUAAGGCUGUCUUGUGUAUUCUGUUGUUCAUGAGGUAUUUUUUAUUGAAUAAAAUAUUUACUUAUCAAAAAA